rnacentral:tRNA from 1 species
GCUUCCUUAGCUCAGUCGGUAGAGCGCUUCCAUGGUAAGGAAGAGGUCACCAGUUCGAGUCUGGUAGGAAGCU